CACAUAACCCGCGAGAGGCCCUAGUAUGCAGAUGAGGAUGUGACAGUGAGUUUGGAGUUGCCUUCAACUUUGGGGGAACAGAAGAAACUGAAGCACAAAACAGAAACUUAGAGAAGCUGAAAGAAGCUAAAGUAUUUAAAAACGCAUUAAAUGGGAAUCACUUCUUAUCUUGAGAUGUUCUCAAAUGUCUUAGCAGGAGAGAACCACGGUGGCAUUGUGAAUAUAAGACCAAAAGAAGAUGGCAGCAACGGACCACGGUACACGUCUGGACACUGUUUUCCAGUCUCCAGGGCCACCACCUGCCUCCACAGGCCCCACCUGAGGAUUCUCAGAGCUGCAGGAAUGAGAGUUCUUUCAACUUUUAUCCUCAUGGUGACUCCCCAUGCGGUUUCUUGAGGGCUGUGGUAAACCAUUUCUCUGUAAUAAAAAUACCCAUGAUACUCUUUUCUCUACUACCUCUUUGAAAUGUAAGAUGGCAGUACUAAAAAAAAGAUGGCAAUAUUAAAAUUGCUUAUAUUGAAUGUACUGUCAUUUCCAAAAUUCUUCACAUGGUCAAAUAAAAAUAUUCUCUUUGAAUAUGCAAACCUGUAUUUUAUAUUUUGUAUCCCAA
rnacentral:lncRNA from 1 species